GACCAGCCAUGAUCCCGGAAUGAACACGCUCUGGGACAAGAUUCUCGAGCUGACAGAUUUCCAGGGGACUGUGUAUCUCCAGAAAGUGCGGGCCUCGUAUCUCAAAGAGUCAGACACUCCAAAAGGCUUGAGAAGCACACAUCUAGGGAUGUCUGGCCCACAUAGAAGCAAGCUUAAAGAACGAAAAUGGAAGAAUAAAUAGUCACCGUGGUUUAAAAACUGAGGAGUCAGCAACUCACCCUUCAUCUGCCAAGUGUUUGUAGGUGAAGGCCAGCAGAUCGGCCGCCCUGCCUGUGCCUUCACACACCACCACCGGGUCUUUGUCUCUCACGGUCUCCCACACCGCGAGGAUGACGUUGGGACCUCCUUCUACCACCAGCCCCACCACGGGCACGCCUUGCCUUGAACCUGUUUCAGAUGACAAACACCAAACUGUUACAAAGAAAUCCUUUGUUGGCCAAGCAUCCAUUUUGGUUUCCUCAACACAAGUCUUUCAAUUACUACAUAACCCUGUGACUUGCAAUCACCCCUCUUACUUCCUGGACUCACUCAGGCUUGCUUAGUUCAAGACCAAGCCGGAAGGGUGCACUUUUAAUAAAGUCACUUAAAUAUGA